GAAGAACGGGGCGUUGCGCGCGCGCGCACCGCGCAGGGGCGGGAAGGCGCGAACGCGACGGUGGCGCAGCACCGCCUCCUCCCUCUCUCACCCGCGCGUUCUUCCAGGUGAAGUGCCAUCAGCAGAAGGUCAUAGAGCCCUGGUCACGGUCCUGAGCCAAGGAGUGGCAGAUUCCUGUGUGUCAGAGACCAGUCUUCACUGCAGGAGUACGGAUUACCCUCACCUCAGCUAACCUGUGGCUGGGCAGUCAGAAUAGUCUCCUGGAAAAACAAUAAGUCUGCACAGAAGAUGGACUGUGCCUGUGAGGAUGCUCCAGAAAGAUCCAGGAGAGUCAGAAAGACAGUAAGGCGACUGCUACGGUGUAUUCUGGGAGGAAGGAUUAUUU
rnacentral:lncRNA from 1 species